rnacentral:snRNA from 1 species
GUUCCCCUUGCUUGGGCGGUGCAUACACUAAAAUUGGAAUGAUACAGAGAAGAUUAACAUGGUACCUGCAUGAGGAUCACUUGCCGAUUGUUGGAGAUGGAGAGCCGAGGCACAGCAUGAUU